UAACAGCACGAAUGACAAUGAAUAAUUU
rnacentral:sRNA from 1 species